rnacentral:rRNA from 1 species
CGGGGUGAGUAAUGUCUGGGAAACUGCCUGAUGGAGGGGGAUAACUACUGGAAACGGUAGCUAAUACCGCAUAACGUCUUCGGACCAAAGUGGGGGACCUUCGGGCCUCACGCCAUCGGAUGUGCCCAGAUGGGAUUAGCUAGUAGGUGGGGUAAUGGCUCACCUAGGCGACGAUCCCUAGCUGGUCUGAGAGGAUGACCAGCCACACUGGAACUGAGCACGGUCCAG